rnacentral:rRNA from 1 species
GAUGAACGCUGGCGGCGUGCCUAAUACAUGCAAGUCGAGCGAACGGACGAGAAGCUUGCUUUUCUGAUGUUAGCGGCGGACGGGUGAGUAACACGUGGAUAACCUACCUAUAAGACUGGGAUAACUUCGGGAAACCGGAGCUAAUACCGGAGAAUAUUUUGAACCGCAUGGUUCAAAAGUGAAAGACGGUCUUGCUGUCACUUAUAGAUGGAUCCGCGCUGCAUUAGCUAGUUGGUAAGGUAACGGCUUACCAAGGCAACGAUGCAUAGCCGACCUGAGAGGGUGAUCGGCCACACUGGAACUGAGACACGGUCCAGACUCCUACGGGAGGCAGCAGUAGGGAAUCUUCCGCAAUGGGCGAAAGCCUGACGGAGCAACGCCGCGUGAGUGAUGAAGGUCUUCGGAUCGUAAAACUCUGUUAUUAGGGAAGAACAUAUGUGUAAGUAACUGUGCACAUCUUGACGGUACCUAAUCAGAAAGCCACGGCUAACUACGUG